GCUCCAAUAGCGUAUAUUAAAGUUGUUGCAGUUAAAAAGCUCGUAGUUGGAUUUGUGGCGUUCGCGUGCGGCCGGGCAUUCGUGCCUGUGCUUGCUAGCGUCGCCAUCCUUGGGUGGAACCAGUGUGGCAUUAAGUUGUCGUGCUGGGGAUGCCAUCGUUUACUGUGAAAAAAUUAGAGUGUUCAAAGCAGGCUUAUGCC
rnacentral:rRNA from 1 species